CUAAUCAUGCUAAGCUUAUUAGGACCAGUUUGCAUGAUACAUCCCAAAAUCUCCUUAAAAAAACCCAACAUGGCUACGACUGUUUAUGAUUACAGAUUUUAUUUAUUAUUGAUCCUCGAAGAAACUAUACAACAAUAACUAUUUUAAUCUACAAACAAUAUAAUCAUACUAGAACUAAUUCAAAGUGUCUAAAGGUAAAUAAUUGUUCAGUUCUCUUUGUUAUCCAACACGUUCGUUUUGUUAAUUCACUGGCAGACAAAGUACCAGCACGACCUAAUUACAAGCGCUAUGUUCCACGUUUUGACCACUAAUAAUCAAUACCAUUCACUGCUUUAUGUAUGAAGGAAGGCCAGGUUUCUUAGUUUGAACUGGUUCUUUAGAUUUUUUCAAUUUUGUUUUUCAGUACGAAAGUUCUUUGAAAUCGUUGCACAUUUCCCCCAUAAUUCCGAAAUUUAUAGUUUCUCAGUAGUAUUUGGACAACCGACCAUUUGUCAAGUUCAUUAAUACCAUUCGCUAGCUCCGUAUACCAACUACCAUAGCUUGUUGAACUGAAGUUGUAUCAUUACCAUUCAUCAUACAUACGGCACACUGUGAUCAAGAUCAUAAAAUCCACACGCAUAUAUUUUCAACAAAUACUGAUAUCACGCAUCAUGCUGUGCACAUCACAAGUGGCACAUACGAGCGUGAGAUAUAAGGACGGUUUGUCAAACGCGUAUAUUUCAACAAUGAGAAUAAUGUACAAUUUUUCUCCACGUGAACGACUCACGGUCUUUCGAGAUGGUAUUAAUGAUAUUACUUUUAGCUUUCCAAUAUAAUGUUUUCAAGUUAUGCUGUAUUUGGCAUUAUUCCCGUAUAUCAGUCACAUUGUGAUUAGGAGUUUGAAAUCCAUUAGUUUCUUAGUCCGAUUCAACCGUUGCAUAAUAAUGGUGCGAUACAGAAAUUGUUCCUAAAGGCGUAGAUUUUCAACGAUGUAAACACUACAUGAUUUUCGUUAUUGUCGAAACGACUCGCGAUCCUUCGAAUUGCUCAUUAAUUUCCUUUUGACUUUACUGCAGUACGACGUAUUCAAGUAACCAUGUUCAUUGUUGGUAUUCCACACUAAUCAUCGAUAUUUCAACAUAAACAAACCACAACAAGCUUGUGGAAGACACCGUUGCCAUUAUUCCCGUAUAUCAGUCACAUUAUCAGAUCAGAUAUUUUCAAAUCCACUGAGUCACCAACAUAUAAUUAUAUAAACCGCGUAUUAUAAGUGAUGAAACUGUAACAUAUUCAGCAACGGUUCGUAAAAGCCGACGUAUACUUUCAACGAUGACAACAUAACGUCCAAGUGAAUCACUCACUAGUCUCUCGAGAUGGUCGUAAUAUUUCUUGUGAUUUUACAGUACAAUGUUUUUAAGUCAAAUCCAUAUGUUUAUCCCAGUCUUGAAAGCUUCAUCGAACUUCCCAAUAGACGUGUGCCCAUCGUGGCAAAGCAACAAGCUUUAAAAUAUUUUUUACUAACUCCAAUAAGCCAGUUUAGCGUAACUAUACUGCGCAUCCAAUUGAGUCGGGUUAAAAUGUCUCUUUCAAUAUUUUAAAGUAAAAUAUGUUUUUUACUUUAACCGUAUAUCGUACCAAAACAUAGCUGUAUAUUCUUGUUAUUCUGAGGAACUAAUGAGUUCAACAGAAAAGAAAAUGCUCUACUGAGUACGUUACGAUAUGGUGAAGUGAAAAACAGGCUUAAGUUUUAACGAGAAGGCUGUGGAUUGAGAGGGAUACAAAAGGAUACAACAUCGAAGUUCUGCUUGUAUUUUUCAGGUAGUUGUAUCCCUCUCAAUCCACAGUUGUCUUGUUAUCGUCGCUACCUUCACUGACACAGACCCUUCCAGAUUAAGUUUUGAUGUUUUAAUUAUGGAAAUAGUUUUUUUAGAAAAGACGAAGUUUUUAGACGAUUGACUUGCUUCAAGUUACAAAAACAUUCCCGCAAGUACACUUCAAUUUUUUGGCUUACACACAGAAAAAAGUCAAAAGAGUUUAUUAG